GCGUGUAUGAAGAAGGCUUCGGGUUGUAAAGUACUUUCAGCGGGGAGGAAGGGAGUAAAGUUAAUACCUUUGCUCAUUGACGUUACCCGCAGAAGAAGCACCGGCUAACUCCGUGCCAGCAGCCGCGGUAAUACGGAGGCUGCAAGCGUUAAUCGGAAUUACUGGGCGUAAAGCGCACGCAGGCGGUUUGUUAAGUCAGAUGUGAAAUCCCCGGGCUCAACCUGGGAACUGCAUCUGAUACUGGCAAGCUUGAGUCUCGUAGAGGGGGGUAGAAUUCCAGGUGUAGCGGUGAAAUGCGUAGAGAUCUGGAGGAAUACCGGUGGCGAAGGCGGCCCCCUGGACGAAGACUGACGCUCAGGUGCGAAAGCGUGGGGAGCAAACAGGAUUAGAUACCCCCGUAG
rnacentral:rRNA from 1 species